CUGGGGCAACGUGAAGUCCCUGAAGCUGUAGAAGGAGAUGUCACCAUGAUCCACCAGAGCAAAGAUCAGAGGGACAUCCCCACUCUGGUCCUGCAGAGAUGGCACUACUUGGAAACUUACUGGGCACCUCCAUCAGCAAGGUGUGUUGUCUGCAGCACAGAAAUAUGCUGAAGGACCACAGCUACAAGGACAGAGAAAACAAGGUACUGGGAGGGGAGUCACAUUUCUCAGUCUGCCAUCUAGGAUGGCCAGAUUUAGCAACUUUUUUUUUUCCUUUUUUUUUAAAACAAGAGUCUCA